rnacentral:rRNA from 1 species
CCUACGGGAGGCAGCAGUGAGGAAUAUUGGUCAAUGGGCGAGAGCCUGAACCAGCCAAGUCGCGUGAGGGAGUACUGCCCUAUGGGUUGUAAACCUCUUUUGUCGGGGAGCAAAAGCCGGACGUGUCCGGCUGUGAGAGUACCCGAAGAAAAAGCAUCGGCUAACUCCGUGCCAGCAGCCGCGGUAAUACGGAGGAUGCGAGCGUUAUCCGGAUUUAUUGGGUUUAAAGGGUGCGCAGGCGGAUUUUUAAGUCAGCGGUAAAAUCGUGGGGCUCAACCCCAUCCAGCCGUUGAAACUGGGGAUCUAGAGUGUGCGAGAGGUAUGAGGAAUGCGUGGUGUAGCGGUGAAAUGCAUAGAUAUCACGCAGAACCCCGAUUGCGAAGGCAGCAUACCGGUGCACAACUGACGCUCAGGCACGAAAGCGUGGGUAUCGAACAGGAUUAGAUACCCGAGUAGUC